rnacentral:rRNA from 1 species
UACGUAGGGUCCGAGCGUUGUCCGGAAUUACUGGGCGUAAAGAGCUCGUAGGUGGUUUGUCGCGUUGUUCGUGAAAACUCACAGCUCAACUGUGGGCGUGCGGGCGAUACGGGCAGACUGGAGUACUGCAGGGGAGACUGGAAUUCCUGGUGUAGCGGUGAAAUGCGCAGAUAUCAGGAGGAACACCGAUGGCGAAGGCAGAUCUCUGGGCCGUAACUGACGCUGGAGGGAAGCGGAAAGCAUGGGAGCGAACAG